rnacentral:rRNA from 2 species
AUACAUGCAUGUCGAGCGGAAUUUAGCAAUAAAUUUAGCGGCGAAUGGGUGAGUAACACGUACUUAACGUACCUUUUAGACUGGAAUAACGGUGAGAAAUUAUCGCUAAUGCCGGAUAUAUAAAAAAAUCGCAUGAUUUUUUUAAGAAAGAAGCGUUUGCUUCACUAAGAGAUCGGGGUGCGGAACAUUAGCUAGUUGGUAGAGUAAUGGCCUACCAAGGCAAUUAUGUUUAGCGGGGUUGAGAGACUGAACCGCCACACUGGGACUGAGAUACGGCCCAGACUCCUACGGGAGGCAGCAGUAGGGAAUUUUCCACAAUGGGCGAAAGCCUGAUGGAGCAACACAGCGUGUAGGAUGAAGGCCUUCGGGUUGUAAACUACUGUUAUAUGGGAAGAAAAACUAGUAUAGGAAAUGAUAUUAGCUUGACGGUACCAUGUCAGAAAGCAACGGCUAACUAUGUGCCAGCAGCCGCGGUAAUACAUAGGUUGCAAGCGUUAUCC